rnacentral:tRNA from 1 species
ACCUGGGUAGCUCAGUUGGUUGAGUGUCCGACUUUGGCUCAGGUCACGAUCCUCCAGUUCGUGGGUUCCAAUCCCACGUCAGGCU